CUCUGUGUACACAUGAGACACAGGGCGGAAAGAG
rnacentral:ncRNA from 1 species